rnacentral:tRNA from 1 species
CAGAAAAUAGUUUAAAAAAUAUUAAUUUUGGAGAUUAAAGACAAGAAGGGGUUUCUUUUUUCUGA